rnacentral:rRNA from 1 species
GAUGAACGCUAGCUACAGGCUUAACACAUGCAAGUCGCGGGGCAGCAUUUUCUUAGCUUGCUAAGGAAGAUGGCGACCGGCGCACGGGUGAGUAACGCGUAUCCAACCUUCCCAUGUCCACGGGAUAGCCCGUCGAAAGGCGGAUUAAUACCGUAUGAGGUCACACGAUGGCAUCAGACUGUGACGAAAGGUUUAGCGGACAUGGAUGGGGAUGCGUCCGAUUAGCUUGACGGCGGGGUAACGGCCCACCGUGGCAUCGAUCGGUAGGGGUUCUGAGAGGAAGGUCCCCCCACAUUGGAACUGAGACACGGUCCAAACUCCUACGGGAGGCAGCAGUGAGGAAUAUUGGUCAAUGGGCGAGAGCCUGAACCAGCCAAGUAGCGUGCAGGACGACGGCCCUAUGGGUUGUAAACUGCUUUAUAAGGGAAUAAAGUGAGUCUCGUGAGACUUUUUGCAUGUACCUUAUGAAUAAGGACCGGCUAAUUCCGUG